rnacentral:lncRNA from 10 species
GUGAAUGUCUCCCUGAGGAAUUCUACCUGGAGUCACUUUCUCUUCCAGUGAGACCCUGAGUUUUGAGAUGGUACAAGGCAGAAUGUUAAUUAAGCGCUAUAUUCAAAGUGAAAGUACCAGGAAAAUUCGGAAAAGGGAUAAAGAGCUGAGUUUGUCCUGGUAUAGGCAAGAAAGCCUUCAAAGUGGUGGUGGUGAAAUAAUUCGAACGUCUCCCUGGUGUUCCUUCUCCCUAACCCAUCUAUUUCAAGGUAGGGUCUCUCUCUGUUACCCAGGCUGGAGUGCAGAGGUGGGAUCACAGCUCACUGCAACCUUGACCUCCUGGGCUCAAGUGAUUCUCUCACCUCAGCCUCCCAAGUAGCUGGGACUAUGGGCAUAUGCUACCACUUCUGGCUAAUUUUUUAAUUUUUAAAGUUUUUGUAGAGAUGGGGUCUCACCAUGUUGCCCAGGCUCAUCUCAAACUCCUGGGUUCAAGCAGUCUUCCUGCCUCAGACUCCCAAAGUGCUGGGAUUACAGGCAUGAGCUACCGUACCUGGCCAACAGCUCUCUUAAGGUAUAACUGAUGUACAAUUAACUCUACAUAUUUAAAUUGUACAACUUGAACAACUUGAAUGAGUUUUGAUAUAUGUAUACACCUGUGAAACCAUCACCACAAUCAAGAUGACAAGUAUUUCCAUCACCCCAGAAUUUCCUCAUGCCCCUUUUUUAUCCUUCCUUCAUUCCUGUUCCCAGGCAUCCACUGAUCUGCUUCUGUCACUGUAGAUGAAUUUGCAUUUUCUAGAAUUUUAUAUAAAUGGAAUCAUACAGUA